CAGCCGCCGCGGUAAUACGAAGGGGGCGAGCGUUAUUCGGAAUCACUGGGCGUAAAGCGUGCGUAGGCGGUUCUAAAAGUUAGAAGUGAAAGCCCAGGGCUUAGCCCUGGAAUUGCUUUUAAAACUAUAGGACUAGAAUUCGGGAGAGGAUAGCGGAAUUGUCAGUGUAGCAGUGAAAUGCGUAGAUAUUGACAGGAACACCAGUGGCGUAAGCGGCUAUCUGGACCGACAUUGACGCUGAGGCACGAAAGCGUGGGGAUCAAACAGGAUUAGAUACCCCCGUAGUCCCUGUCUCUUAUAC
rnacentral:rRNA from 1 species